AACGAACGCUGGCGGCAUGCCUAACACAUGCAAGUCGAACGAGACCUUCGGGUCUAGUGGCGCACGGGUGCGUAACGCGUGGGAACCUGCCCUUAGGUUCGGAAUAACUCCCCGAAAGGGGUGCUAAUACCGGAUAAUGUCUUCGGACCAAAGAUUUAUCGCCUUUGGAUGGGCCCGCGUUGGAUUAGCUAGUUGGUAGGGUAAAAGCCUACCAAGGCGACGAUCCAUAGCUGGUCUGAGAGGAUGAUCAGCCACACUGGGACUGGGACACGGCCCAGACUCCGACGGGAGGCAGCAGUGGGGAAUAUUGGACAAUGGGCGAAAGACGGAGCCAGCAAUGCCGCGGGAGUGAUGAAGGCCUUAGGGUUGUAAAGCUCUUUUACCCGGGAUGAUAAUGACAGUACCGGGAGAAUAAGCUCCGGCGAACUCCGU
rnacentral:rRNA from 1 species